UUUUGAUUCAGUUCCAAUUGUAAGUGCCUUCUUUAAUAUAAAAUGCACUUACCUAAGUAUUUGUAUGAUUUAGUUGAUGAAGAGUCCAGGCUUCUGCAUCCUGGACAUAUGUGUUAUAUUUGUUAAAUGAUAUUUAUUGCUUAAUUGUUUGGUGAAGAGUCCAGGCUUCUGCAUCCUGGACAUAUGUGUUAUAUUUGUUAGAUGAUAUUUAUUGCUUAAUUGUUUGGUGAAGAGUCCAGGCUUCUGCAUCCUGGACAUACUUGCUUAAAUGAUAUUUAGGUGACAUGACUUAAUUUAUUACCUAUUUCUUGCAAUUUGACUAGUUAUGAAUUACUUCUUAGGAGUCGGAAGAAAAUGAGUCAUAAUCGUGAGUGGAUGUAUAAGCGUUUUAGUCAAGAUGGUGCUUUAGAUCAUGAUUUUCGAGUUGGGCUUGAAACUUUUAUCGAGUUUGCUCGUAGUCAGUCAUUGUUCAUGGAUGGGGAAAAGAUUAAGUGUCCAUGUAGGAGGUGUAAGAAUAAACCUUAUCACGAACAAAACACCGUGCGGUAUCAUAUUUUGAGAUUUGGAUUUGUUCCAAAUUAUCACACUUGGACUUUUCAAGGUGAGAUAUCAGCAAGUACGACAAAUGUUCUGUUAUCCUUAUAGUUUGCCAAGUAUUGCUUGUUGUGAACCUAUGCCCUCCCCAAAAAAUUCUGUAGGUUCUGAUGUUAUGGAUUUACUUCUUUUUCAUUUGUUUAGUUAGGGAGAUCUUGUUAUCUCUAUUUUAUUGGCUAAUGUUGGAUUUAAUUUGUGCAAAAUGGAUUAAUUUAUGUCGCAGAGGCAUGUAGACUUGAGCUAUAUUAGUGUCAUUGCUUGCUUUCAGUUUUGAGAUAUUGAUUCUUUGAUGUUCCACGGAGAUAAGAUAGCUUUAGCCUUUAGGUAAUUUAACUAUGGCCAAUUUGGCAAUGACUUGUUAACUUUUGCUAAACAUUGUUCCAUGAAUACAAUGUGUAUGUUUGUGUUGUUAAUCAUAACUAGUUUUAAUUAACUUGUUUAAUAGAGUGUUUAAUAUUGAAUUAUAUUGUAGAUGAAGGUGAAUGAGCGUAUUGAGACAUUGAGCCAGCCUGUUCCCGGCACAGAUGAGGUGCCAGAGGUGGAUAGGAAUGAGAUCUUCAAAAGUCUUAUCUAGCCCUCGAAGAAGAAGAGAUUGUUUGGUGCUGGCUCUCUUGCGCAUUGCUAUAUAAGUGGUUCAUCGAGUGCUGAUUCUGCAGCGACCUCCCAGCUCGAUUCCACUGCUCAGCAGAAGUUGGUGGAGGUGCAGGAACUGUUAGAGUUAGAGAGACAGGAGCGUCAUCAAAGCGAGGAAAAGAUGCAAGCAGAGCUGAGGGCACGAGACGAGGCACAAGCACAGAUGCAGGCACAGAUUCAGGCUCAGCUACGAGCUCAGCAGGAAGCGUUUGAGCAAGCUCUAUCGAAGCUAUAUAGUGGUAGAGGAGGCUCAUCAUCUUCCUCUUGAUCCUUUUAUCUUUAUAUGUUGGUUUGAAACUAUUUUGAACACUUUGAUUUUAACUUUUAGUUAUGUUGGAGAUUGAACUUGUUAUGUUGGAUUUCUAUGAAUUAAUGUGAUAUAAGACUUUUUGUUAUUUAUAUUUUGAUGAAUAAGUUGCAUUAAUA
rnacentral:lncRNA from 1 species